rnacentral:lncRNA from 1 species
ACUAAACGUCCUUCGGUUUAAUUGAUUUUUGUCAGAAGCGAUUUGUAUAGGAUGAUUUAUAAUAUCAACGUUUCUGAUUAUAAACACGAACUUCUAUAAAUUGAUAACGAAUAAUUUUGAGAAAUUUUACUCAUCUCGUUUAUUAGACCUAAGUAUGAUUCUGCUCAAUUUAGUUUGGCAAAUAUCCACUUCAUCCAUGUGUGUUGAUUGUCGUGAUUAAGCGGAUCAUGUCUAGGACGGCUUCUGGAAUCGCUAUAAGUGUUUUGCAUGAAACUUCUUGGGGUUAAAUUUGGGGGAAAAAACUUACAAAGCGCGUCUAGAUAGUAGAAGCUAUUUUUAAGAAGCAUAUGUGCUAUGUGUAGCUUUAAGAAGAGUUUCCAAGUGCUUUAUUGAGAAACUCUUUGAAUAAAGUAAAAGAAAAAUGCUUAUGAGUAAAGUAAAAGAUAAGUGCUUAUGAGUAAAGUAUCUCGAGGCAAUAUUUAAUAAGUGUUCAUAUGCUUUAACAAAGUGGAAUUCAUUCCUACUAGUCUUCUGCUAAACUGACCUUAGGAUGAUUUAUAAUAUCAACGAUUCUGAUUAUAAACACGAACUUCUAUAAAUUGAUAACGAAUAAUUUUGAGAAAUUUUGAGUAUGGGUUUCUACUCAUCUCGAUUAUUAGACCUAAGUAUGAUUCUGCUCAAUUUAGUUUGGCAAAUAUCCACUUCAUCCAUGUGUGUUGAUUGUCGUGAUUAAGCGGAUGAUGUCUAGGACGGCUUCUAGAACCGCUAUAAGUGUUUUGCAUGAAACUUCUUGGGAUUAAAUUUGGAGGAAAAAACUUACAAAGCGCGUCUAGAUAGUAGAAGCUAUUUUUAAGAAGCAUAUGUGCUAUGUGUAGCUUUAAGAAGAGUUUCCAAGUUUCCAAGUUUCCAAGUGCUUUAUUGAGAAACUCUUUGAAUAAGUAAAAGAAAAAUGCUUAUGAGUAAAGUAAAAGAUAAGUGCUUAUGAGUAAAGUAUCUCGAGGCAAUAUUUAGUAAGUGUUCAUAUGCUUUAACAAAGUGGAAUUCAUUCUUACAAGUCUUCUGCUAAACUGACCUUAUUAGAAGCACAAUGAAAUUUUAUUGAAAAUGCUUUUAUGAUUCGUACAUACUUUUAUGAUACGUUUACGCAUGGGUAAUCGAAAUGGAAAAGUGGAAUUGAAUACGUGAAACAGUUUUAACAUGAAUCUGAUUCUACCAUAUUCCAACUCUUCAAUUCAAUUUCUUUUAUUUUGAAUACGGAAUAGUAAACAGCCUAUUAAAUUUUUCUGCCAAAUAUAAUCAAAAGUACUUUUGAUUGUUCUAAUGACAUUUUUAACUAUUUCAAAAGCAUUCCCUCCAUUUAACUUUGCUUCAAUUUUUUGUUGGUGAUGGACAGAAUUAGCAGUGCGGGGCUUGAACUAGCAAAUUUGCUGGUGACUUCUCCUCCCCUGCACCAGUCAUGGGACGCGGUUCAGAAGCAAAAGCUCCAGACAGCUGCUGAUCCGAAUGCACAAAUGGCCUUAUACAUUAGUGAAACCAAGCACUCAAACACCACCAUCAUAUCUUUUCUUACUUCACCAGUCAAGGUUCAAGAUCCACAAGCGAUGAUUUCAUCGAAGACUCUCAAGGACACAAAUUUUCUUCUCUUUGAGUUUUUGUGCAGCAAAAAAACCCCAAGUUUCUCCGUCAAUGAAUUGACAAUCAACUUCUUCGCGUUGAAUCACAUCAACCUCGACCUUCUGCGAACAAAGGUAUGUACUGUUAUCUCAAAUAAUUUUUUCCAAUUUUUGUCUAUUCUUCUCCUACUGAAUCAAACUUUUUCAUCGCUUUGACGACUAUUAAUUUUAGUGAGAAACGGUUCGAAAUGAUAUUUAUAAUGAUAGAUUACUUUCUACUUAAUUAGUUUGGCUUCUUUGACAACUCUUAAUAUUAGUGAGAAACACUUACAAACACCUCAUUAUUAGUGUUAUAAGAGCCGAAUGACGUAAAAUCGAUUCUAUUUUGUUUUGUUGUUGUUCAAAAUGGUGUUGAAUGUUAUUUUUUUUACCACGAAGGAACUUAUUUGUAAAAGACGUCUCCGAAUUAAUUAUAUAGCUAGCAGUUCAGUAAUUGACUAACUUCAUGCAAUAUUUCAGCUGGUAGAAAGCAGCAAUUCCAACUCAUCGAUACUUAUCACUGGACAUUCUUUUGGAGGCUGUGUAGCUACCCUUUUCACCUUAUGGCUGCUACAAAGCCUCAACUUGUCGAAAGCGAAGCGUCCCCUUUGCAUCACUUUUGGUUCACCCUUGACCGGUGACGAACAACUCCAACAAUGUGUGUUGCAAUUCUCAACUUGGAGUUCUUGCUUCUUGAAUGUAGCCUCUAUCAACGAUCCUGUACCUAAAGCCUUCCUAACAGCUUCGCAAGCAAGCAAUUACAAGCCUUUUGGAACAUUCCUAUUGUGCUCCGCUUCGGGUGGUUCUUGCUUUGAUGACCCUGAUGCCAUUUUGCAACUGUUGGUGGACACCGGCUCUCAGAGUGCUCAAAUUCAAGGUCCGAAUUUGGGGUUUCAGUAUUUUGAUUACGGACAGAUUUUGAGUGAUCUCAAGCUGAAGGCGUUUUCAAGAGAUGUCUUUGAGUUGGUUGAAGAGGAUAGAGUUCCACUUAAAGCUGGAAUUAAAACACAAUUGGCAGCAAUAUUUGGAGUUAAUAGCUCACAGGUAUCCAACUUUCCACACAAAUAUUUGAUUUGAUGAUGAUUCAGAGAAUGGUUUCUGCACAAACCUGUUUAUUUUUGUCUCUUGAUUUUCUGUUACUUUAUUUAAUCCGAAGAUUGGAAAUAAACACGGGUGUGCUGGGGGCAAUCACAUUCCAUGUUUUUUUCGACCUAUAUAUAUUUUUACUUCUACUAACUUUUUUCGCAAAUCAUUUUGUAAAAGUCAUUGCAGCAGCAACAACCCGACAUAAAUUUCGGCAAUCUGAUGCAAAAGAUGGAAACUCAAGAACGUAACCACGCAAUCCAGAAGACGCAGGUUUACAGUUCUUUCUGGAAAUUGAAUGAGAUUAAAAAGUACAUGGCCUACAUGGAAGGGUACAAGAAGGAGUCCAAAGAGAUGGGAAUUGGAUACUAUGACAGGUACAGAAACAAGCGUUGCUUGGGUGACAUUAAUGCCGAAGAGUACAAGAAGAAGCUCUCGAAUUACUGGGAGGACACUGUUGCGGAAGUUGAGAGCAAUCCCCAGAAAGAAGGAGCCACAAUGCGUACUCGUUUCCUAUUUGGUGGAACGAAUUACAGAAGGAUGAUCGAACCGCUUCACAUUGCAGAGUACUACAAGGAAGGUGGAAAAGAUUACAUAAAGGAAAGGCCUCGACAUUUCGUUCUGUUGGAGCAAUGGUUCAAUGAAGACGCGGAAAAGCAGAAGCCAGAGAGAGGGCAGAAAGAAAAGGAGAACCCCCAACUGCGUGGCGAAAGCAAGUCGAACUCAAAAGCGAAGAAUGUGGCUUCAAGUCUGAAUGAUGAUUCUUGUUUUUGGGUGCAUGUCGAGGAAGCGCAUAUCUUAUGCAAUGAACAAGCGAGUAAUCCAAAUGCCAAGCAAAUGCUGAUGGAAUUUGAGCAGUACGUGCUGAAUAAUCUCGAGAAGUUUGCAGUGACACCUGAUAUUUUCUUGGCCCAAAGCAGCUACAUGCAAUGGUGGAACGAGUACGAAAAAUGGAUGGGAAAUGACUAUUCCUCACCACUCGCCAAGGUCAUGAAGCGUCACACUUAUACCAAGUAUGCGGAGGGGGUCUCGGUUCUUGCCGAUAUAUAAUCCAAGAUAAUUAAGUUUUAAGCAAGUAAUUAAAUCAGAUAAAGCAAGAUUAGUUAUGCUGUAUUGCUCAUGAUCUUCAUAUAGAAAGUUGUGCAGUACUUGUAGGGCUUGUUGGUGCUACUACUCUCGAAUAUUUUUGUUUGUGUUUUCAUUUUGUUUUGGGCUCUACCUCUCUUGUACAAAGAAAAAGAAUGUGUGGGGGGUAUUGUUUAAUUACGAUGUUAUAAUUUCCACUUCAUCGUUGCAUUUUGAUUUCAUGUGAGGGCUAUCCUAAUCAGUAAUUGGAAUAAGUUAAGACUUGCGAUAAUCAUAGUUUAUGUUGUAUUAAUCUUGCUUAUGAAUCUAUAAAGUGCACAACUUAGUCUAGUUUCUUUGGCGUUUUUGCACAAAAUGUACACAAACUUCUAAUUUCUUUGGCUUUUUCACACAAUACGUAAUGUGUUAUCACGGAACAAAAAGAUAUAUACGUCAAGAUAGAUAGGCCCAUGACACAAUACUUAUAUUACAACUACAUAUAAGAGACUUGUUGAAUACUUAAGAGCAAGUCCACCCCUAAAAAUUUAGCGCCAGCACCCGUAUUUAUCCACUCAAGUGAACAGUAAUAUACUCCAGUGAACAAUAAUAGCCAAAGCAUCUCCACCCCUAACAAAAAAUAGCUUAGUCAAUUUUAUUAAAAUAUUAUUAUUUUUUAUUAUAAAAUAUUAUUAUUUUUAUUAUAAAAUAAUAAAAAUAAUAAUUUUAUUAAAAAAAAAAGAAGGAAAAGUCAGGAACCUCCACGGUUCUACUAGAACUCUCUAUACUCUCCCUCUACAUCCCCAAACGCCAAAUGCCACUCCUGACGCUAACUCGCUUCAACCUCCCUCUACAUCUCUCUCUCUCUCUCUCUGUUGGGUGGAGCUCUGCAAAAAUCCACCACCAUGUGCAAUGAUAAUCCCACCGGAUUCCAACUUUCCUUCCGGUUCACAAUCCCCAGUCUUUAUUCCUCCACAAUAUUUCAACCAUUUUGCCUAUCAAAUUCCCUAUCAAUCCAACCUCACUAACCCAAUUUGAUCUUUUCCUCAAUCGAUGGUUCCCUCGGCAGUAGUCGCCGCGGAUCCAGCCUAUCACCUACCCGACACCGACCCGUAUGACAAUUCGGGUUGGUACCCGUGGACCCGUGUUGGAUUUCGAGGUCAGACGCCUUUUGGUGAAGGCCUCGAAAUCUCCCACUGCCCCAGAAUCAACCUCAGCCCUUUGCGACGUGUUGAUCAUGUGGGAGGUUGAUGGCCCGACAUGUGGGUCUGUCGAUUUUAGGCCGGUCUCUUGCCUGGCUUGGGCUGGGUGUCGAUCAAAAUGCUCGGCUGGAGUGGAUAGCCUGGGUGUCGGGCUGGUUUUUUGGCUGGGUGCUGGCCUAUCAGUUCCCCGGUGGAACUGCUCUAAAGGAACACACAUUAUGUACGUGUUCUCAUGUUUUCAUUAUGUUCCAAUAACUCAUAAUAUAUAUAUCAUUCCGUUUUGUAAUUUAUGAUGAAAUCAUAUAUAUUUUAAGUAUAAACAAACACUUAUUUACACGAAAUAAUAAUAGAUUUAAUUAAAUCCGCCUAGUCUGCCUAGCUACCUGGACGCUAGGUCUCAGCCCACCGCUCGACUAAUCUGCGUUAACCAUAUUGUGUAGCUAGUCGGUGAAUUCAGACAAAAAAAACAGAAAGCUCAACGGCCAUUCCCUAUCCCUCAGAUUAACUCGUUAGAUUUCUUUGUAAAUUUCUUUGUAUUCUUCCGCGAAUGUUUAGUUGCUAAAAUCAAAUCAUGUAUUAAAUUACUCUGAAAUUUUCGUUACGGAUGAACAAGCUGGAAGCAACCGGGAAUGAAUAAUUAUCUGAACUUCAACACGUAAACGUAGAUAAGAAGACCGGAGGCAAAGCAUCGAGGCAAAAGGUCCAGCCCUCCCUCCUCCGGGAACCUUCCAGGAACAAGAUCCGUUAAUAUACUUUCCUGUGCAUUGUCGACUUGGCGGGAAAUUCCCUCGUGGGGACCUUUGAGACAAUGAAGUCCAUAAGAAUAAUAAUAGCUUUAGAACUGUUUCCUCUUCUAUAGAAAGGACACUGACCGUUCUGUUUUCCAAAUCUCUCAAUCUACUGUGUUUUUAAGCAGAUCGCCAAAAGCUUGAAGAUGAACAACCAGUAAGUUAACUUCAAACUCCUCCGAUCCUUGUUUUUCUUUGAAUCCUUUGUCAUUGAUUUUUCUUAUGGUUUAUUAGACCUAAUUAUGAUUCUGCUCAAUGUAGUUUGGCAAAUUUCCACUUCAUCCAUGUGUGUCGAUUGUCGUGAUUAAGCGGACAUGUCUAAGACGGCUUCUGGAAUGGCUAUAAGUGUUUUGCAUGAAACUUCUUAGGGUUAAUUUUGGGGGAAAAAACUUACAAAGCGUGUGUAGAUAGUAGAAGCUUUUUUUAAGAAGCAUAUGCGCUGUGUAGCUUCAAGAAGCAUUUCCAAGUUUCCAGAAACACUUGAGUAAAGUAAAACAAAAACGCUUAUGAGUAAAGUAAAAGAUAAGUGCUUAUGAGUAAAGUUUCUCGCGGAGGCAAUAUUUAAUAAAUGUUAAUAUGGUUUAACAAAGUGGAAUUUCAUUCUUACAAGUCUGACCUUAUUAGAAGCAUAAUUAAUUUUUAUAGAAAAUGCUUUUAUGAUUCGUACACACUUUUGUGACACGUUUUUAUUUAUUUUUUAUUUAUAAAGAAACGAUAUUAUCUACGCUAAAAGGACAGGGAUGAGCUUAACCUCAUAAUUGGCUAUCAAUAAUGUAGUUCAAAUUCGACUUUAACAAGAAUCGAACCUAAGACCUCUCACUUACAAGUAAAGAGGAAUACCACUAGACCGUAGUACUAAGUGACACUUCUAUGACACGUUUACGCAAGGGUAAUCGAAAUGAAAAAGCAUAAUUGAAUUUCAAUUACGGAGUACUCCAGUAUUUAUCAAAUAUUGUAAUCCAACUCCAAAAUUUGGAAAAAUUCAGUUAUCUACAAUUUUAUGGAAAUUAAAUUCCGGAUUAUUGGGGGAAUCGAAAUAAAUUGUUUCAAACCAUUAUACUCUCAUUUAUUUCCAAAAUUUUAAGAUUGUCCUUCGCAUUUACCCAACACCAAAUUUUGUUCCCUCAACAAAAAAAAAUGAAAAAUGAAAAGAAUUACAGUUUUUCUCACAAAGUUAAAAUAAAAAAAUGUUUUACCAAUAAAAUAAAAUAAAUAAAUAAAAAUUAGCAUAUAAAGUACAUUACUAGAAUUGAAGCAUUUUAGUAAUCACAUCGAUUUUCAUUCUGAUUCAUGUGAGUUUAUAAACAGUUUCUAUGGUUUAGUACUAUUUCUAAUUUGAUUUCUAAAAAUUUUAGUAAACAAUUUCAACAUGAAUUUGAUUCUAUCAUAUUCCAACUCUUCAAUUCAAUGCCUCAUCAACUCAAUUCCUUUAUUCUGAAUACGAAAUAGUAAACAACCUAUUAAAUUUUUCUGCCAAAUAUAAUCAAAAGUACUUUUGAUUGUUCCACUGACAUUUUUAACGACUUCAAAAGCAUUCCC